UUCCUUCUUCAAGCUUCGUGACCUAUCUAGUAUCUCCUUACCCCAAACACCAACAGUUUCAGAAGAAGGAAAACGUUGGCGGCUGAACGUAAAUUCCUUGAUGAGUGUCUGAGGGUGGGCGACGAGGGCAUCCAGAAAAUUUAUACAGCAGCACCAAGUUGAUCUACAAGGAGCUUGGCAGAUUGCAUACAGUCUGAGCAGGACCAUCUCCCAAAUUUCUGGCUCUUAAGUCCACGUUGAUGGUACUUCCUCCUCCAUCAACUUGAGGGGAGUUAAAGUAACUCAUCAUGCUCCACUCAUCACUAUUGCCCACUCCACUAAUGAUAUUGCCCACUCGUCACUAAUGCUUGGUUACGGAAAUGAAGUUUAUGGGAUUGUCUUCAUAAUCUACUAAAGGAUCUUGGUUGCACUUCCAAAGAAAUGAGGAGAUUCUUUAGUAUUAUAUUCAAGAUAAUGAUGUAUAUUCUUUUGAUUUAGUUUACUUUAUAUAUAUGGGUGCAAGCACCUAGCUCGUGUAACAUUAAGCAAUUUAUCACAUUUACAUUUUCAAUACAAGACUUUUUAGUAUA